rnacentral:rRNA from 1 species
UACGUAGGCAGCAAGCGUUGUUCGGAGUUACUGGGCGUAAAGAGUGCGUAGGCGGUUCCGUAAGUUUGGUGUGAAAUCUCCCGGCUCAACUGGGAGGGUGCGACGAAGACUGCGGUGCUUGAGUGUGGGAAAGGUAGGCGGAAUUCCUGGUGUAGCGGUGAAAUGCGUAGAUAUCAGGAGGAACACCGGUGGUGUAGACGGCUUACUAGACCAUGACUGACGCUGAGGCACGAAAGCGUGGGUAGCAAACAGG